UUUUGAAAGAUUUCUUCGGAAUGAAUUUGAUUUAGUUUAGUGGCGGACGGGUGAGUAACGCGUGAGUAACCUGCCUUCAAGAGGGGGAUAACAUUCUGAAAAGAAUGCUAAUACCGCAUGACAUAUUGGAACCACAUGGUUUUGAUAUCAAAGAUUUUAUCGCUUGAAGAUGGACUCGCGUCCGAUUAGUUAGUUGGUGAGGUAACGGCUCACCAAGACCGCGAUCGGUAGCCGGACUGAGAGGUUGAACGGCCACAUUGGGACUGAGACACGGCCCAGACUCCUACGGGAGGCAGCAGUGGGGGAUAUUGCGCAAUGGGGGCAACCCUGACGCAGCAACGCCGCGUGAAGGAUGAAGGUUUUCGGAUUGUAAACUUCUUUUAUUAAGGACGAAAAAUGACGGUACUUAAUGAAUAAGCUCCGGCUAACUACGUGCCAGCAGCCGCGGUAAUACGUAGGGAGCAAGCGUUGUCCGGAUUUACUGGGUGUAAAGGGUGCGUAGGCGGCUUUGCAAGUCAGAUGUGAAAUCUAUGGGCUCAACCCAUAAACUGCAUUUGAAACUGUAGAGCUUGAGUGAAGUAGAGGCAGGCGGAAUUCCCCGUGUAGCGGUGAAAUGCGUAGAGAUGGGGAGGAACACCAGUGGCGAAGGCGGC
rnacentral:rRNA from 1 species